AACGAACGCUGGCGGCAGGCUUAACACAUGCAAGUCGAACGCAUCCUUCGGGGUGAGUGGCAGACGGGUGUGUAACGCGUGGGAACGUGCCCUUCAGUUCGGGAUAACCCAGGGAAACUUGGGCUAAUACCGGAUACGUGCGAGAGCAGAAAGAUUUAUCGCUGAAGGAUCGGCCCGCGUCUGAUUAGCUAGUUGGUGGGGUAAUGGCCCACCAAGGCGACGAUCAGUAGCUGGUCUGAGAGGAUGAUCAGCCACAUUGGGACUGAGACACGGCCCAAACUCCGACGGGAGGCAGCAGUGGGGAAUAUUGGACAAUGGGCGCAAGCCUGGUCCAGCCAUGCCGCGUGAGUGAUGAAGGCCUUAGGGUUGUAAAGCUCUUUCGUCCGGGACGAUAAUGACGGUACCGGAAGAAGAAGCCCCGGCUAACUUCGUGCCAGCAGCCGCCGUAA
rnacentral:rRNA from 1 species